rnacentral:rRNA from 1 species
CCUACGGGAGGCAGCAGUGGGGAAUAUUGCACAAUGGGGGAAACCCUGAUCCAGCGACGCCGCGUGAGUGAGGAAGUAUUUCGGUAUGUAAAGCUCUAUUAGCAGGGGAGAAAAUGAUGGUACCUGACUAAGAUGCUACGGCUAACUACGUGCCAGAAGCUGCGGUAAUACGUAGGGGGCCAGCGUUAUCCGGAUUUACCGGGUGUAAAGGGAGCGUAGACGGCUAAUCAAGUCAGAAGUGAAAGCCCAGGGCUCAACCUUGGGACUGGUUUUGAAACUGGCUAGCUAGAGUUCAGGAGAGGUGAGCGGAAUUCGUAGUGUAGCGGUGAAAUGCUUAGAUAUUAGGAGGAACACCAGUGGCGAAGGCAGCUUACUGGACUGUAACUGACGUUGAGGCUCGAAAGCGUGGGGAGCAAACAGGAUUAGAUACCCCUGUAGUC